CCAAAGCCAGAUCACUCUGGUUCAAUGUCGGGGCGCGAAAAUCACUUGCUUACGACUUGUAUACUGGUCAAGGUGUUGUAUCCAGUAGAGCAGUCUCUUUAUACUGCGAUCUGUUGAGACUAUCCUUUGAUUGGAUGUUUGUU
rfam:Heterorhabditis bacteriophora unplaced genomic scaffold Scaffold293, whole genome shotgun sequence.